rnacentral:rRNA from 1 species
CAAUAGCGUAUAUUAAUGUUGUUGCAGUUAAAAAGCUCGUAGUUGGAUUCCUGACCUGGGGUAGCCGGUCCGCCUUGCAAAAGGUGCGCACUGAGCGGCCUCGGUCAUCCUUGAGAAGAGCGGUCCUGGCAUUCAGUUGUCGGGGUCGGGAUUCUCGACGUUUACUGUGAAAAAAUCAGAGUGUUCAACGCAGGCUUACGCCUUGAAUACAUUAGCAUGGAAUAAUGAGAUAGGACCUUGGCGGUCUAUUUUGUUGGUUUGCACGCCGAGGUAAUGAUUAAAAGGGACGGUUGGGGUUCUUCGUAUUCAAUUGUCAGAGGUGAAAUUCUUGGAUUUAUGGAAGACGAACUGCUGCGAAAGCGUCGAACAAGGACGUUCNCAUUAA